rnacentral:rRNA from 1 species
GAUGAACGCUGGCGGCGUGCCUAAUACAUGCCAGUCGAGCGAACGGACGAGGAGCUUGCUCCUCUGACGUUAGCGGCGGACGGGUGUGUAACACGUGGAUAACCUACCUAUAAGACUGGGAUAACUUCGGGAAACCGGAGCUAAUACCGGAUAAUAUCUUGAACCGCAUGGGUCAAUAGUGAAAGACGGCUUUGCUGUCACUAAUAGAUGGAUCCGCGCUGCAUUAGCUAGUUGGUAAGGUAACGGCCUACCAAGGCAACGAUGCGUAGCCGACCUGAGAGGGUGAUCGGCCACACUGGAACUGAGACACGGUCCAGACUCCUACGGGAGGCAGCAGUAGGGAAUCUUCCGCAAUGGGCGAAAGCCUGACGGAGCAACGCCGCGUGAGUGAUGAAGGUCUUCGGAUCGUAAAACUCUGUUAUUGGGGAAGAACAUAUGUGUAAGUAACUGUGCAGUGCUUGACGGUACCUAAUAAGAAAGCAACGGCUAACUACGUG